rnacentral:rRNA from 1 species
GCAAGCCGAGGGGUAUGUAAUUGCUUGCAAUUAUAGAGACCGGCGGAUGGGUGAGUAACGCGUAUGAAACCUGCCCUAUUCAUCAGGAUAGCCCUAGGAAACUGGGAUUAAUACUGAAUAACACUAAUAUCGGCAUCGGUGUUAGUUAAAAGAUUUAUCGGAAUAGGAUGGUCAUGCGUCAGAUUAGUUAGUUGGUAGGGUAACGGCCUACCAAGGCAAUGAUCUGUAGGGGGCCUGAGAGGGUGAUCCCCCACACUGGUACUGAGACACGGACCAGACUCCUACGGGAGGCAGCAGUGAGGAAUAUUGGACAAUGGGUGAGAGCCUGAUCCAGCCAUCCCGCGUGCAGGAAGAAUGCCUUAUGGGUUGUAAACUGCUUUUAUACAGGAAUAAACCACUUUACGUGUAAGGUGUUGAAGGUACUGUAUGAAUAAGCAUCGGCUAACUCCGUGCCAGCAGCCGCGGUAAUACGGAGGAUGCAAGCGUUAUCCGGAUUUAUUGGGUUUAAAGGGUCCGUAGGCGGGCAUAUAAGUCAGUGGUGAAAUCCGACAGCUUAACUGUCGAACUGCCUUUGAAACUGUAUGUCUUGAGUGAGAUUGAAGCAGCUGGAAUGUGUAGUGUAGCGGUGAAAUGCAUAGAUAUUACACGGAACACCGAUAGCGUAGGCAGGUUGCUAAGUCUUUACUGACGCUGAUGGACGAAAGCGUGGGGAGCAAACAGGGAUUAGAUACCCUGGUAGUCCACGCCGUAAACGUUGGGAUACUGUCUAUUGGAAUUUUCAGUGGAUAAGCGAAAGUGAUAAGUAUCCCACCUGGGGAGUACGUUCGCAAGAAUGCAACUCAAAUGAAUUGACGGAA